UUCAAAUCUGAUGGGAAAAUUACUGCCUUGCAUCUUGAUAUAUUAAUUAAUGCUGGCAUAUCUCCUGACAUGAGUCCAUUGAUGCCAAAAGCCAUUGUGGGUGCACUUAAAAAGUAUGAUUGGGGUGCUUUGUCUUUUGAUAUAAAGUUAUGCAAAACAAACCUUUCAAGCAAAUCAGCAAUGCGGGGGCAUGGAGACCUGCAAGGAUCAUACAUUGCAGACCGUAAUUGAACAAGUAGCCUCUUUUCUUUCCAUGGAUGCAGAUUCUGUGAGAGCCAUAAAUUUUCACACAUAUAAUAGCCUUAAGUUAUUCUAUGAUGGUAGUGCAGGUGAUCCUCUAGAAUAUACUUUAACUUCAAU
rnacentral:misc_RNA from 1 species